rnacentral:lncRNA from 1 species
GAACAAAUGAGAGACAAGCGGAAACCCCCAUCCUGACCCACAGUGAAGUAGUGUACAGGUAGUGCUGGCCACUGUGCCACCUGGAGCUGAUUGGCUGAGCAUGCCAAAGACUCUUUUCUCCAAGACUGCCAACUCAGGCUUACAGCAUGCAAAUGGCCUAGGGUGGUGCUUUAAGUGUGCUGUUAGAAGAGGAGUUAAACUGACCUUCCAUUCCUGCUCUUGGAAGCCAGUGAUGUCUGGCCUUAGACUAUGCUUUGAAGGCAAGCCUAUGAGGCCCAGAGUCCAAGUAGAUCACAGACACAUGAAAACAUCUCUUUCAAGAGUCCAUUUCAAACAGCAAACAGAUUCCAAAAAUGAUUACAAUUAUUUAAGUUGAAAUACUAAGAUUCACCCCAAUUCUUUUUAUUUUUUUCCCCUCCUAAGGUCAAGCACAUGAAUCACCCAGGGCUUAAUUACAAUUGAAGACAAGAGGACACAGUAACUACUAUUCAGAUAACUUGAAAUGUAAAACUUGAAACAAGCCCUGAUUUUAAUCUCUAUUUAUGGAUAUAAUUCAAUCCUUGGUCAACUGGGUUUCUCCUCUAUGUCAUAUUGCAAGUCAAAUAUUGGACACUUAGAGUGUAAGUCCAUGUGGCAAAUCUCCAACAUCAAUAUGCUGAGCCAAAAUGUGAUCUAGGUUUUUGCUUUUUCCUAAAUGGAUCGUGUAUAGCUAUCCAGGAAAAAGAGAUCUUUGAUUUAUUAGAAUUGGGAUAAUCAAAAAAGCCCAGCAGCCACUACAGA